CCACCCUGGCGAUUGAUGUAU
rnacentral:misc_RNA from 1 species